UUCCAGACUCCUACGGGAGGCAGCAGUGGGGAAUAUUGCACAAUGGGGGAAACCCUGAUGCAGCGACGCCGCGUGAGCGAUGAAGUAUUUCGGUAUGUAAAGCUCUAUCAGCAGGGAAGAAAAUGACGGUACCUGACUAAGAAGCCCCGGCUAACUACGUGCCAGCAGCCGCGGUAAUACGUAGGGGGCAAGCGUUAUCCGGAUUUACUGGGUGUAAAGGGAGCGUAGACGGCUGUGCAAGCCAGAUGUGAAAGCCCGGGGCUCAACCCCGGGACUGCAUUUGGAACUGUGUGGCUGGAGUGUCGGAGAGGCAGGCGGAAUUCCUAGUGUAGUGGUGAAAUGCGUAGACAUUAGGAGGAACACCAGUGGCGAAGGCGGCCUGCUGGACGAUGACUGACGUUGAGGCUCGAAAGCGUGGGGAGCAAACAGGAUUAGAUACCCGAGUAC
rnacentral:rRNA from 1 species